rnacentral:lncRNA from 1 species
CCAUCUUUCGGCCAUCCCUUUGCUUUUUUUCCUUCUCCUCGUCUAGGAUGAAAAGCUACCGCCUACAUACAGUGACCUCGCUUCGCUUUACUCUCUCAUCUCUUGUAACCGAUGUGGAAUGGGGUGGAGUACUCGUGGUCAGAGUGUGCCGGGUUCGUUGCGGAGCUCGCGACCGUCUCUGCAAAAAGCGAUCCAUGUCUCUUUGACCCCCCACACCCUCAACCCAACCCUUCUCCAACGCAGCAACGAUCAGGACACACUUCGCGAUUCGAGAUACACACCCCCCCUUCCCAUCGAUCGACCCUGUCCGCUUCACCUCUCCUCCUAUCCUAUAUAAACGCACCUCCACCUCUCCCUGUUUUCUUCACCCUCGUUCCCUUGCACUGCGCCAACAAAGAAUUAACAACUAUAUACACACUCUCACUAGCGUAGCUAAGAGCUAAGGGAGGGAGAAGGAGAGGUCGGAGGCGUCAAAAUGUUGAGGAUGCAGCAGCAGCAGCAGGUUGAUGGCGUGGUGGGCGGCGGCAUCGUGGCGGAGGCAGAGGGCCACCAGGNN